GCAAGUCGAGCGCACCUUCGGGUGAGCGGCGGACGGGUGAGUAACGCGUGGGAAUAUGCCCUUCUCUAAGGAAUAGCCUCGGGAAACUGAGAGUAAUACCUUAUACGCCCUUUGGGGGAAAGAUUUAUCGGAGAAGGAUUAGCCCGCGUUGGAUUAGGUAGUUGGUGAGGUAACGGCUCACCAAGCCGACGAUCCAUAGCUGGUUUGAGAGGAUGAUC
rnacentral:rRNA from 1 species